UACGAAGGGGGGCUAGCGUUGCUCGGAAUUACUGGGCGUAAAGGGCGCGUAGGCGGCACUGUUAGUCAGGCGUGAAAGUCCUGGGCUCAACCUGGGAACUGCGCUUGAUACGGCAGAGCUAGAGGAUGGAAGAGGGUCGCGGAAUUCCCAGUGUAGAGGUGAAAUUCGUAGAUAUUGGGAAGAACACCGGUGGCGAAGGCGGCGACCUGGUCCAUUACUGACGCUGAGGCGCGACAGCGUGGGGAAGCAAACAGG
rnacentral:rRNA from 1 species